UACAGAGGGGGCUAGCGUUGUUCGGAAUUACUGGGCGUAAAGGGCGCGUAGGCGGCCCGCUAAGUCGAACGUGAAAUCCCCGGGCUCAACCCGGGAACUGCGUCCGAUACUGGCAGGCUUGAAUCCGGGAGAGGGAUGUGGAAUUCCAGGUGUAGCGGUGAAAUGCGUAGAUAUCUGGAGGAACAUCGGUGGCGAAGGCGGCAUCCUGGACCGGUAUUGACGCUGAGGCGCGAAAGCCAGGGGAGCAAACGGG
rnacentral:rRNA from 1 species